CAUGUAAUGUGUCAGAGGAACUGUAGUUUUGGUGCUCCACAGCAGUAUAUAUCUCUAGAGUUACAGCUGAGGUUUGAGUGGCUAAACUUAGAAGUUAGGCAACCAAGACCUUAACUGGACCUAUCUCCACUGGGACUGAAGCUAUGAAAAAGUUUGUGUUGUUAUUUUUUCUUUAGACAGUCUCAGACCUGAGGGGAGAGGCCACUGCUCCACCAGGAUGCAUGCCAUGGAGGGACAUCAUGGGUCAGGAAAGGGUUCUUCUCUCUCAGGACCUCCUCCAGCACUUUGGCCUGGAGAUGAAGUACCCAUAAGUCAGGAAGGCCUCUUGCUGUGGACAGUGAGGUCUCUGUUUCCAGAAGUUCUGUGAAGAACACUGUGGUGCACAGGAUCCUGCUCCCUACCAGCAUGGGAGGUUUCCAUUUGGAGCACCCAGACUUGGCCCCAUAGCCCCACUGCAGGCUCCUUGAGAGACUCUCUUCUUUCUUGCCUCUGCAUCUCCCCAGUGAUCAACCUCAUCUUGCAGUGGUGGCAGACUGACAGGCUGUAAAGUAAGUCCAGCUGGAAAGAAGAUCAUUUUGUUGUCUUCCGUCCAACCUCAUUUUUCAGCACUGAAUGUCCAGUGGUGCACCUGUCUGAAACCUCCAAACACCUGGAGAUUCCACACAGCAAUGAUAUUUUUUAAAAAUAGACCACUUAUUGUCCGUGCUA